rnacentral:rRNA from 1 species
UACGAGGGGUGCAAGCGUUAAUCGGAAUUACUGGGCGUAAAGCGUACGUAGGUGGUUUGUUAAGCUAGCUGUGAAAGCCCCGGGCUCAACCUGGGAAUUGCAGUUAGAACUGGCAGGCUAGAGUAGGGUAGAGGGGUGUGGAAUUCCAGGUGUAGCGGUGAAAUGCGUAGAUAUCUGGAGGAACAUCAGUGGCGAAGGCGACACCCUGGACUCAUACUGACACUGAGGUACGAAAGCGUGGGGAGCAAACAGG